GACGAACGCUGGCGGCGUGCCUAAUACAUGCAAGUCGAACGAGUGGCGGACGGGUGAGUAACACGUGGGAACCUACCCAUCAGAGGGGGAUAACUACUGGAAACGGUAGCUAAUACCGCAUACCAUCGGAUGUGCACAGAUUGGAUUAGCUUGUAGGUGAGGUAACGGCUCACUUAGGGGACGAUCCCUAGCUGGUCUGAGAGGCUGACUAGCCACACUGGAACUGAGACACGGUCCAGACUCCUACGGGAGGCAGCAGUGGGGAAUAUUGCACAAUGGGCGCAAGCCUGAUGCAGCCAUGCCGCGUGUAUGAAGAAGGCCUUCGGGUUGUAAAGUACUUUCAGCGGGGAGGCGUUACCCGCAGAAGAAGCACCGGCUAACUCCGUGCCAGCCGCCGCGGUAAUUC
rnacentral:rRNA from 1 species